UCACUUACCUGGACGGGGUCGACUCGUGAUCAAGAAGACGAGUGGCCUAGGCUAGUGACCUCCAUUGCACUGAGGAGGGGCGCUUAGCCUAAGGUCUCCCCAAGUGGGAGAGCCUGCGUCAUUAUUUGUGGCAGAGGGAGCCUGCGUCCGCGCGGCUCCUA
rnacentral:snRNA from 1 species